UAGGGAAUCUUCCACAAUGGGCGCAAGCCUGAUGGAGCAACACCGCGUGAGUGAAGAAGGGUUUCGGCUCGUAAAGCUCUGUUGUUAAAGAAGAACACGUAUGAGAGUAACUGUUCAUACGUUGACGGUAUUUAACCAGAAAGUCGCGGCUAACUACGUGCCAA
rnacentral:rRNA from 1 species